rnacentral:rRNA from 1 species
UACGAAGGGGGCUAGCGUUGUUCGGAUUUACUGGGCGUAAAGCGCACGUAGGCGGUUUGUUAAGUGAGAGGUGAAAUCCCAGAGCUCAACUCUGGAACUGCCUUUCAUACUGGCAAGCUAGAGUCCGGAAGAGGUAAGUGGAACUCCUAGUGUAGAGGUGGAAUUCGUAGAUAUUAGGAAGAACACCAGUGGCGAAGGCGGCUUACUGGUCCGGAACUGACGCUGAGGUGCGAAAGCUAGGGGAGCGAAUGGGG